GUGUCAGCAGCCGCGGUAAUACGUAGGUGGCGAGCGUUGUCCGGAAUUAUUGGGCGUAAAGGGCGCGUAGGCGGCAGCCUAAGUCAGAUGUGAAACCCCGGGGCUUAACUUCGGGCAUGCAUUUGAAACUGGGCAGCUAGAGUGCAGGAGAGGUAAGUGGAAUUCCUAGUGUAGCGGUGAAAUGCGUAGAUAUUAGGAGGAACACCAGUGGCGAAGGCGACUUACUGGACUGUAACUGACGCUGAGGCGCGAAAGCGUGGGGAGCAAACAGGAUUAGAUACCCUGGUAGUCCACGCUGUAAACGAUGGAUACUAGGUGUGGGAGGUAUCGACCCCUUCCGUGCCGCAGUAAACGCAAUAAGUAUCCCGCCUGGGGAGUACGGCCGCAAGGUUGAA
rnacentral:rRNA from 1 species